GAUGAACGCUGGCGGCGUGCCUAAUACAUGCAAGUCGAGCGAACGGACGAGAAGCUUGCUUCUCUGAUGUUAGCGGCGGACGGGUGAGUAACACGUGGAUAACCUACCUAUAAGACUGGGAUAACUUCGGGAAACCGGAGCUAAUACCGGAUAAUAUUUUGAACCGCAUGGUUCAAAAGUGAAAGGCGGUCUUUCUGUCACUUAUAGAUGGAUCCGCGCUGCAUUAGCUAGUUGGUAAGGUAACGGCUUACCAAGGCAACGAUGCAUAGCCGACCUGAGAGGGUGAUCGGCCACACUGGAACUGAGACACGGUCAAGACUACUACGGGAGGCAGCAGUAGGGAAUCUUCCGCAAUGGGCGAAAGCCUGACGGAGCAACGCCGCGUGAGUGAUGAAGGUCUUCGGAUCGUAAAACUCUGUUAUUAGGGAAGAACAUAUGUGUAAGUAACUGUGCACAUCUUGACGGUACCUAAUCAGAAAGCAACGGCUAACUACGUG
rnacentral:rRNA from 1 species